rnacentral:rRNA from 1 species
AACGAACGCUGGCGGCAUGCCUAACACAUGCAAGUCGAACGAGACCUUCGGGUCUAGUGGCGCACGGGUGCGUAACGCGUGGGAACCUGCACUUAGGUUCGGAAUAACUCCCCGAAUGGGGUGCUAUUACCGGAUAAUGUCUUCGGACCAAAGAUUUAUCGACUUUGGAUGGGACUGCGUUGGAUUAGCUUGUUGGUAGGGUAAAAGCCUACCAAGGCGACGAUCCAUAGCUGGUCUGAGAGGAUGAUCAGCCACACUGGGACUGAGACACGGCCCAGACUCCUACGGGAGGCAGCAGUGGGGAAUAUUGGACAAUGGGCGAAAGCCUGAUCCAGCAAGGCCGCGUGAGUGAUGAAGGCCUGAGGGUUGUAAAGCGCUUUUACCCGGGAUGAUAAUGACGGUACCGGGAGAAUAAGCUCCGGCUAACUCCGUG